rnacentral:snoRNA from 1 species
CCAGUGAAGAUGAUGAAACAUUUCGGAUGUAAACUCACAGACCUGUUCUUAAUGCGCAAACCCAUGUGGAUAUUUCCGUUGCCUUCCUUCUGAUUUCACAA